UUGCAUCUUACUCAUGUCCUUGGAGAGACGGUUUAGAUGGAUGGGUGUUGGAGUGGAAGCUUCCAGAAGCCGAUCUUGUUUCCAAGGAAAAGAAUAUGCUUUCACUUUUUCAUGGUAUACAGUGGAUUGUUUCUAUGCCCAUUCCUGAGUCUUCCACAGGAACACAUAAUGGCUACCUGCUGCCACAACAGUGAAGGAAUUUUCCACUCUGAUAACUGUGAUGCUGUCUCAUCUUUAUGAGGUGCAGAGGGAACGAGUGUUUGCCUGGAAUUAGCAACUGUUAACCCAUCUUCUCCUGGGAGCUUAAGACUCAACAGCAGCCGUUAGCUGACAUUUACCGAACCCCUCCUAUGUGUGUGCAGCGCUGUUCUAGAACCUAGAGCUUCCGGGCUGUGGAAGUCACAGUUAUGUAGUCACGGUCACUGGAGUGGCCCCUGGGGAAGGUGGCAGGGACCAGGGCCAGGAGCAAGGCUCAGUCAGGGUCUCAGCAAGAGAGGGGUGCACACUCCCAACUGUGUGGUAUAAGAACCAGUUAAUAAAGGAACUGUCUACACAGACUGAGGCAGUGUCUGGGCGAAGCAAUAAGUUCAUCUAGAACAGUGACAGUGGCAACCAUUAACACCCCCAGGCCUGACGGGACAAGAAGAAAAAGUGCCACCAGAACUGAGAAAGUAACUUGGAACUGCUUAGUCAAGGUCAACAAGGACAAGACUUCAAAGGCUGGUAAAGCAAGGAAGCAACCCGGGCCCCUGGAUGGCAUCAUGGAACAGAUUUGCCUCUGUCUGUGGACCACCUGCCCACCUUCACACUAUUGUACAGGAGAGAAGUUUCAAAUAUUUGGGAGGCCCCUAAAAGGUGUAUAGGCUGUAGGCACUGGGCAUAGAGUGCCUAAUGCAUGCCGUAGACCAGAAUGUGUGAGGGACAAGGAUGCCCCCCCGCCCGCACUCCCACCUUGCCGACACAGAGCCCUCGGCACAAGACGGCAGACACUGAGCACUUCUCACGGCCCCGGAACCCUAGUCAUACUCUGUCCGUGUGCCCUGCCCCCAUCCUUCCUGGCCCCCCAGUUUCUGCCAUUGGGCUUUUGGGGCUGUUUUUGCCACAUGCAAGAGAACUAGGUCCUGGGAGUUUAUGCCCUUUCUACCUGGCUCUUAGCCAGCGACCAACUGGAAAGGAAUACAAAGGCCCAAGCCUUUUGCCACCAGUUGGGAAAGGCUCUGAGGUGUGGUUUCUACUCCAGAGCCUCCUUCCCCCAUCAGGCAGAUCAGGAGGAGGCUGGGAUUUGCCUGAGGUCACACAUUGCUUGCCUUCUUUCUCUUCCCUGUCCUGCUCCCCUCCCCUGCUCCCCUGGGAUCCUUUUAUCCCAUUCUUCCGGGAACAUAUUCUCAAUAAAUCCCUUGCACAUGAA